UUGACAUCCAGAGAACUUAGCAGAGAUGCUUUGGUGCCUUCGGGAACUCUGAGACAGGUGCUGCAUGGCUGUCGUCAGCUCGUGUUGUGAAAUGUUGGGUUAACGUCCGCAACGAGCGCAACCCUUAUCCUUUGUUGCCAGCGGUUCGGCCGGGAACUCAAAGGAGACUGCCGGUGAUAAACCGGAGGAAGGUGGGGAUGACGUCAAGUCAUCAUGGCCCUUACGGCCAGGGCUACACGCGUGCUACAAUGGCGCAUACAAAGAGAAGCGACCUCGCGAGAGCAAGCGGACCUCAUAAAGUGCGUCGUAGUCCGGAUUGGAGUCUGCAACUCGACUCCAUGAAGUCGGAAUCGCUAGUAAUCGUAGAUCAGAAUGCUACGGUGAAUACGUUCCCGGGCCUUGUACACACCGCCCGUCACACCAUGGGAGUGGGUUGCAAAAGAAGUAGGUAGCUUAACCUUCGGGGGGGCGCUUACCACUUUGUGAUUCAUGACUGGGGUGAAGUCGUAACAAGGUAAGCGUAGCGAG
rnacentral:rRNA from 1 species